CAUUAAUGCUCAUGAUGAAGAGUCCCCUGUGACUCGAAACUAGUAGAGCUUUCCAUUAAUGUACGUGAGUAAACCGUGAUUUUUAGAUAAUUUAUUAAAUCUAGAAAUUCUUUGAAAUAGGAAUAAGGAAUUCUAAGUUGUUCUUAACCGACUUAAAAAAAAGAACCGUUUCUCAAUUCAUCUUUUCAAUAAGAUUAAAAGAAAAUUUCUAUAAUUUAGUUUAUAAUUAAGUUAAAAUAAUUAAUUAUAAUCAUUUAUGUAAUUUUACUUAAAUCUUAGUUAAUUUCAGUAUAUUGUAAUUUUAUUAUAUUUUGUGAAUAUCAUCCAAAAUAUAUUUUUAAAUAUUACUUUUGCUGGCGCAUCACAUACGCCUGUAGUCUCCGUAGACGACACGGGCGGACGACACCGGGGAAGCGCGCGGUCGGGGACUCGGGGUACUGAACGCGGCAGCGCUCGCGCCACGGCGCGGCCACUAAGCUCUCAGACGCGUUAGACUUCGGGCAUUUCAAUUUUCAUUGUUCUAAUACUAAAUAUUUGUAAUUACGGUAUUAAACUUAUUUAUACAGUCCAUUCUCUUUUAUUAAGUCCCAACCGAACCAUCAUAUGUAAUUUUCCAACUUCAUAUAGGUAACUGUAAAGAUUUAAAAAUGGUUUUAUGUUAAAAUAACAAAUUAAUACAUUGAAAAAAAUGGGGUUUUUCAUUUUUUAUUAUAAAUUUAUAGCAUGAUAAUAAAUUAAUAAAGAACCAACCCACACACAGAUAGUUUUUCAAUAAGGAACCAUCUAAGUUUUCGGUGUUAUUUAAAUUCGAUUAGGUGUUAUUUAAAAUACUAAUUAUUUUCAUCAAUAUUAGCUUUGUAUACACAGAACAAAGUAUUUGGUACAAUAUUGUAAAUAAACUUUAUCCAAAAUUACAUACAAUUUUAAUGUAUACAAAAUUUACACAAAAAUUGCUUUUUCUCAAAACUGUCAUCGUGUGGGUUGGUUCUGUGUUGCGUAAGUAGGUACGUCCAUCCUAUUUCAAUAUGCAAACAAGAACCAAUCCGCAUGGUACUAUUUAUUUGAUUAAAAAACUAAAAAUCAAAGGGACCAAAUGGUAUGGGUCUUAUUGAAAAAAAAAACAGUUUCAACAAUUUUUCAGGAUUGUUGGGUGACUAUGGGAUAUGGAUCUUGUUAGUUUAUUGAAUAAUUGCGGUUAAUUACCAAAUUGUUGGUUGGUAUCUUUGUCAUAAAAUUGUUUUGUUCUGUCAAAGUUGUCAGAUCAUUUUGAUAUUUACAAGGUCGAUAGAAGAGUUAUUUUUGAAACUUUCUGUGUCCUUAUCUUGAUUUUGACAAUGGUGUGGAUUGUUUCCUUUUUGCAUAAGUGCUGAAAUGGAACGUCAAAUGAUAUAUUUCAUGGAUAAAAGAAAGAGACUGGAUUGGCCUUGUGGGCGGGCCACGCGCGCCGAGGGUGCGAGCCGGCGUACUGCGCGCUGUCAAACGCUCAAAUGUUCAUACUUACCGGCUAGCAAUCGCUGUCAUGUUUUGACAGCGUACGUAUCUCCGCAAAAAUAUUAUAUUAUGCCGUCUUGCGCUAUUAUAACGUGUCGGAAAAGAAGCCAGGUGUGUAGCAUAGCACGAGAAGGAAUUUCUUUUCACCGGUUUCCAACAGAUCCAGGUGUAAGAAAAUUGUGGAUUGACACAACUGGUAGAAUUAAUUGGAUUCCUACUAAAUGUAGCAUAAUUCGUUCGCAACAUUUCGAUGUUGAUAAUUACAUAAUAACAAAGUCAGGGAAAAUAAACUUGUAACACGCCGCCUUUUCGUAAGCAUCGUACACGGUGAGCGGGAAAGCCACCGCUCGCCCGCGGUCUUACCGCGCAUGCGCCGCGCGCGACGCGCGCGCCACCCGAUCGCCGAGGGACGCGGACGCGGACGACGCCACAGUCCGCCUCCACUCGCCAUCGCGUGAUACACGAAUCGCUAUCUCUCAUAAUCUGUGUUCUAACGUACCUAUUUACUAUGUUAGUGUAACGUUCUGAUUUCUGAUGUGAAUAUGAAUAGACAUUUAUAGUUAAAGACUUGGUUUCAUUCAAUUCGCCCACAAAAUCUCGUAACUAACUGUUUACAAACUUAAAAUUAGGCGUUUAUCCGCACAAAUAUAUCGCAAUGUGUAAUUCAGUAAGUAAACUGAUUUUAUUUUAGAAAAUUUUAUAUUGGUCUCUUUAAAUCAGUUUUUUUGUCUAAAAAUGGCGAUAUUUAAAAUAUCAUCUUUCGUAAAUUUAAAAAACGAAAAAAUUAAAUAAUAUAACCAUGUUAUUUCAAUGUGUUCUGUACUUUAUACAAAUUAUUGUAAAUGUGAGAGCCCUGUAAUUAGCUAAAAUUGAAUUAGACUAGUAGAAUGCAUUUGUGUCAGCUUAGAGUUGUCAUGCUCACUCAAAGGUCUCAUUGGCGGUGGCACGGGCGUUGGAUCGUUCGAUUCCCUGCAACAUGGUUGAGUUGGGCGGUGCUGGUGUACGUGCCAUGUUGGUGAACGGGCGCUGUCAACUGGGACUGGGUCAGCUCCAGACUGUAUUAAUUUUGUUGUUGUUAAGGUUUUUUUUUCUAUCGCUUUGACUGUAUAUUAGUUUUACAUUGUUCUCACAUAGCUGAAGCAAUCGAUGCAAAGAAAAGCAAUGUAACCAAGAAUUGUAUUGUGAAUCUGAUUGAAAAAGAUUAACCUAUGGAUUUUCUUGCUCGUUCUUCUCCAUAGGAAUCUACACUUUGGAACGAGCAAAUAGCUUCACUAGAGGACUGACCGACAGACAGACGUUAUUAACAUUAUUAUAUUAGUUUUGACGUUCAAAAGUACCUUUGAUUUAAUUUUUUACUUAUUUUUAACUUAUUGAGUAAUAAAAUUGGUUUUAAAAUUCA